rnacentral:misc_RNA from 1 species
GAUGAAGAACGUAGCGAAAUGCGAUAAGUAAUGUGAAUUGCAGAAUUCAGUGAAUCAUCGAAUCUUUGAACGCACAUUGCGCCCGCCAGUAUUCUGGCGGGCAUGCCUGUUCGAGCGUCAUUACACCCCUCAGGCCCCCGGGCCUGGCGUUGGGGAUCGGCGGAAGCCCCCUGCGGGCACAACGCCGUCCCCCAAAUACAGUGGCGGUCCCGCCGCAGCUUCCAUUGCGUAGUAGCUAACACCUCGCAACUGGAGAGCGGCGCGGCCACGCCGUAAAACACCCAACUUCUGAAUGUUGACCUCGAAUCAGGUAGGAAUACCCGCUGAACUUAAGCAUAUCAAUAAGCGGAGGA